CGGUAGGGCGUGAUGGUCGCGGCAUGCCGGUUCGAGUGGUGUGCUGAGGAAAGUCCGAGCUCCCGAGGGCAGACUGCCAGGUAACACCUGGGCGCCGCGAGGCGACGGAAAGGGCCACAGAAAACAGACCGCCCUUUAUCCAAGGGUAAGGGUGAAACGGUGGGGUAAGAGCCCACCGCGCGCCUGGUAACAGGCGUGGCACGGUAACCCCCAGUCGGAGCAAGGCCAAAUAAGCAGCGAGACCCGGCCCGGGUCGCCUGAGCUGCGGGUAGGCCGCGUGAGGUGGCUGGCG
rnacentral:RNase_P_RNA from 1 species